GGUGACAUCAGAGCUUGGCGAAGGGCACGUUGGGGACACUCAGGUGACCCUGGUGGCACUCAGGUGACCCUGGUGGCACUCAGGUGGCACUCAGGUGGCACUCAGGUGACA